rnacentral:rRNA from 1 species
GAUGAACGCUGGCGGCGUGCCUAAUACAUGCAAGUCGAGCGAACGGACGAGAAGCUUGCUUUUCUGAUGUUAGCGGCGGACGGGUGAGUAACACGUGGAUAACCUACCUAUAAGACUGGGAUAACUUCGGGAAACCGGAGCUAAUACCGGAUAAUAUUUUGAACCGCAUGGUUCAAAAGUGAAAGACGGUCUUGCUGUCACUUAUAGAUGUAUCCGCGCUGCAUUAGCUAGUUGGUAAGGUAACGGCUUACCAAGGCAACGAUGCAUAGCCGACCUGAGAGGGUGAUGCGGCACACUGGAACUGAGCCGCGGUACAGAGUCCUACGGGAGGCAGCAGCAGGGAAUCGUCGGAGAUGGGCGGAAGCCUGACGGAGCAGCGCCGCGUGAGUGAUGAAGGUCUUCGGAUCGGAAAACUCUGUUAUUAGGGAAGAACAUAUGUGUAAGUAACUGUGCACAUCGUGACGGUACCUAAUCAGAAAGCCACGGCUAACUACGUG